rnacentral:lncRNA from 1 species
AAGAGAUUAAAAGACAUCACCUUUUAAAGUCUAGAGACAUUAGCUGAUAUUCUGAUCUUGUUUUUCUUGCUUUCAUAGGAAGCCACUUCAAAGACGGGAGCAGCUACUCCCUUUCAAUAGUUAGGGCCAGAUGGAGAACCACUUGCAGACAGGGCUAAUCUACUUGCAAGUCUGGGUACUUGACACCCUAAGCUGAAUGUCUGAGAUGGCCUCACAUGUUCAGGGUUAGCCAGGGCAGUGUAGCUAACUCCUAGAAUGGAAAUGAGCUUCCCCAGAACUAAGCCAAAUACAGGAAAUGAGUAUGCUGCCUUCUGGCUGCAAGAUCUAUACAUAAACUCACCAACAGGUUCCACCCAGACACUCAGUGUGAGCAAACAUUGAGCUUCUUGCCUUCUCCCAGCAUCCUUCACUGGUCCAUUCACUCAACAGUGUGCACAGUUCUAUCCUGUGUGCACAGGCAUGAAGGAAUAUGGAAAGAGUCAGUUCUGAGCUCUAAGAAACCCUCUGCAUGAUGGAAAACACAGAUACCAACUAAACAACAGGUCCUGGAGCCUGCUUAAUAGAAGACCACGAUACAGCCUUGGUCAAGCUGCCAGACUAGGUGGCUCUGAAGCUUCCA